rnacentral:rRNA from 1 species
UACGGAGGGGGCUAGCGUUGUUCGGAAUUAUUGGGCGUAAAGGGCGCGUAGGCGGUUUGACAAGUCUGAUGUGAAAUCUCUGGGCUCAACCCAGAGUCUGCAUUAGAAACUGUCGGGCUUGAGUAUGGGAGAGGUGAGUGGAAUUUCCGGUGUAGCGGUGAAAUGCGUAGAUAUCGGAAGGAACACCUGUGGCGAAAGCGGCUCACUGGACCAUAACUGACGCUGAGGCGCGAAAGCUAGGGGAGCAAACAGG